rnacentral:lncRNA from 13 species
CUGGGAUGAAUAAUACACUUGUUUUUGUAAUUUUACUGUCAAUAAAGUCUGUUUUUCUCUCUCUCUCAUUAUUCCUUCACCAGUGCUGCCCCCUCCUGGUGAAUCCAUGUCCUGCUGCUGACACUAGUAUUUGACAUAAGUAUUUGUGUCUCUGAGCUGUAGUUGUCCUCAGUGCCUGACAGGACCACAGACAUUCAGAGUGACCUGGGGGUGUGACGGUGAAACAAGAUCAUCAAGAGUGAAAGGUGGGCAUCAUCUUAAAAUAAGCAGUCUCAAACCUGAUGAAAAGUACCAGUUCAACAUGGCUACAGAGGGAGAAGAUGGAAGCCAAAGCAGAUGGAUCUCAGCAUCCCUAUCCACAGUGGUCCCACCCAGAGAUUUAAAGAUAGACCAUUUGGAAGAGACCUCCUUCACUCUCCACUGGUCGAAGGCUGAAGGGAUGGAGAAAGUCCCACAGCGCUUCUUCAUAUCCAACUGCAUCCCAGGAACAGACCCUCUAGCAGCCGUUACUGACGACUGCCACAAAACCUUCUCAAACCUGCAUCCUGGCACCGAGUACACUGUUAGUGUGUCAACUGUGCUGAGCAAUGGGGAACCGAGUGAACCUGUCUCUACAACAGUCUGCACUAUACUUCCUGCUCCAGACCAGCUGACUGUUGAUUCAGUGGACAUCACAUCAGCUGCUGUUAGCUGGAGCCAGCCAGCAGAAUUGGACCAAACCCGACAUCAUUACCAGAUCUCCUAUCGUUGUUCAGGGACAGAACCACACAUCACUACCACAUCUUCACCCAGCAUCACUCUCUCUGACCUGAAACCUGCUACUGAAUACUCUGUCACUGUCUGCACUGUGCUGGAAAAGGGAAAGCAAAGUCAACUGGUGUUAACGACCCUCACCACAGGUAACUAACUACCCUACUUAAGUAUUAGUUCUGGUUAUUAAAAUGACUAUAUGUGAAUUCCCCAGACCUCAAAAUGCAGUUUGGUGCUGAAAACAAUGAAUGUUUAUAAUAUCUGAGUUCAUGCUUUAUUCCAUUUCUGUGAGUCAUCAGUGGUGGUGUCAGAGUCUUUCAAGAACAGUGGGUUUGGAGUCAGGUGCAGAGAGCAGAGGGUUUGAAUAAAUGUGUAUUUUUUAUUACCGGGAAAAAACGGUCACGGCAAAAACACAAGGUACAUUAACUGACCGGCCCAUACACAGGACCAUACACAGGCCCAUACACAGGCCCAUACACAGGCCCAUACACAGGCCCAUACACAGGACCAUACACAGGCCCAUACACAGGACCAUACACAGGCCCAUACACAGGCCCAUACACAGGCCCAUACACAGGCCCAUACACAGGCCCAUACACAGGCCCAUACACAGAUCCAUACACAGGACCNNNNNNNNNNACCAGGUUAUGAGGUUGCUAGGUGUUGGGUUAAGGUCACUACAGUAUAAACUCAGUAUAGACCAGGUUAUGAGGUUGCUACAGUAGGUGUUGGGUUAAGGUCACUAUAGUAUAAACUCAGUAUAGACCAGGUCAUGAGGUUGCUAGGUGUUGGGUUAAGGUCACUACAGUAUAAACUCAGUACAGACCAGGUUAUGAGGUUGCUAGGUGUUGGGUUAAGGUCACUACAGUAUAAACUCAGUAUAGACCAGGUUAUGAGGUUGCUAGGUGUUGGGUUAAGGUCACUACAGUAUAAACUCAGUAUAGACCAGGUUAUGAGGUUGCUAGGUGUUGGGNNNNNNNNNNNNNNNNNNNNNNNNNAAUAGAAAAUGACUCGAGUAUAGAGUCACGCAGUAAAAUACUACUUGAGUAAAGUCUAAAAGUAUUUGGUUUUAAAGAUACUCAAAAGUAAAAGUAUAAAUAAUUUCAGAUGGAACCAUUUUUAUUUUUUUACAGAUAGCCAGGGGUACACUCCAACACUCAGACAUCAUUUGAGUUUAGGGUGUCCGCCAGAUCAGAGGCAGUAGUGAUGAUCACUAGAUAAGUGUGUGAAUUAGAAUAUUUUCCUGUCCUUCUAAGUAUUCGAAAUGUAACGAGUACUUUUGUGUAUCAGGGAAAAUGUCUGGAUUAAAAAAGUAUGUUAUUUUCUUAAGGGAUGUAGUGAAGUAAAAGUAGUCAAACAUAAAUAGUAAAGUACAGAUACCUUAACUACUUAAGUAGUACUUUCAAGUAAUUUUAUUAGUACUUUCAAGUAUUUUUAUUAGUACUUUCAAGUAUUUUUUAUGUAAGUACGUUACACCACUGUGAGUCAUUAUUUCAAGGAGUUGAUCUGCUUGCUUUAACUUUAUCCAAAGUACAGCGUAAAACACUUGUUAUUGUGGAGAGUAUUUAUAAUCACAGCAUUCUUUUUAAUUUAUAUGAAUUAAUGAAUAUAAAUCAAAUCAGUUUAUUUGUCACGUGCGCCGAAUACAACAGUGAAAUGCUUACUUACAAGCCCUUAACCAACAGUGACAUUUUUAAGUAAAAAAUAAAUAUUAGGUAAACAAUAGAUUAGACAUUUUUUAUCUUUCAUCUGCAAACUUAAUGAUGCUGUUGGUGACGUGCCUGGCCAUGCAGUCGCGGGUGAACAGGGAGUACAGGAGGGGACUGAGCACGCACCCCUGAGGGGCUCCAGUGUUGAGGAUCAGUGUGGCAGAUGUGUUGCUACCUACCCUCACCACCUGGGGACAGCCCGUCAAGAAGUCCAGGCGUGGGACGGCGCCGGAAGAAAUGGUGCCGGAAUAGCAGAAACACUUCAUUUUUGUUACAAAUCAGCUUCUGUUGUGACUUCUGCUUUAGCUUAUUUCUUCCCAUAUCAAAAGGAAUUGCAAACUGGCUUUUUCUAUUUUUUAAACUACUAUUCUACUUUUCCUAUUGUAGUCUAUUUCUGGAGUU